AUUGAACGCUGGCGGCAUGCCUUACACAUGCAAGUCGAACGGUAACGGGCCUUCGGGUGCCGACGAGUGGCGCACGGGUGAGUAAUACAUCGGAACGUGCCCGAUCGUGGGGGAUAACGAGGCGAAAGCUUUGCUAAUACCGCAUACGAUCUACGGAUGAAAGCAGGGGACCGCAAGGCCUUGCGCGGACGGAGCGGCCGAUGGCAGAUUAGGUAGUUGGUGGGAUAAAAGCUUACCAAGCCGACGAUCUGUAGCUGGUCUGAGAGGAUGAUCAGCCACACUGGGACUGAGACACGGCCCAGACUCCUACGGGAGGCAGCAGUGGGGAAUUUUGGAGAAUGGGCGCAAGCCUGAUCCAGCCAUGCCGCGUGCAGGAUGAAGGCCUUCGGGUUGUAAACUGCUUUUGUACGGAACGAAAAGCCUUCUUUUAAUACAGGAGGGUCAUGACGGUACCGUAAGAAUAAGCACCGGCUAACUACGUG
rnacentral:rRNA from 1 species